rnacentral:rRNA from 1 species
UUGUAAUCUCAAGAAGUGUUUUCCGUUUCGGACCAUGCCUAAGUCUCUUGGAAAAGAGCAUCAUAGAGGGUGAUAAUCCCGUACAUGGCAUGGAGCGCCCGAGACUUUGUGAUACGCUUUCUAAGAGUCGAGUUGUUUGGGAAUGCAGCUCAAAAUGGGUGGUAAAUGCCAUCUAAGGCUAAAUAUUGGGGAGAGACCGAUAGCGAACAAGUACAGUGAUGGAAAGAUGAAAAGAACUUUGAAAAGAGAGUUAAACAGUACGUGAAAUUGCCAAAAGGGAAGGGUAGGAGGUCAGAGAUGCGUUCUGGGAUUCAGCCUUGCUUUUGCUUGGUGUUUUUCCCAGAUGGCAGGCCAACGUCGGUUUUGGGCGCUGGAGAAGGGUGGAAGGAAUGUGGCACCUCUCGGGGUGUGUUAUAGCCUUCUACUGGAUACAGUGACCGAGACCGAGGACAGCAGCGUACUCGCAAGAGCGGGCCUUCGGGCACCUUUACGCUUAGGGCGUUGGCAUAAUGGCCCUCUACCACCCGUC